ensembl:lncRNA
GAGGAGGAAUGAAGAGUGUGACCGGCGAGAACGAUAUGUGCAAGAGUGCUCAAUAAAAAUAAUUGUUAAACCGAACAAUCCGUGUCGCUGCUUUCUACGUCCCAGAUUCACGGGGUAACGCAGAACACGUUACAAUCAAUGAAGUUAGAUGCUGAUACGCCUUAAGGAUUAGAUCGUGAGCACAUGCACUGUAUAGGAGAUGAAGAUGGGAAAGAUGGACUCACAAGAAACAUUAUGAUAAAAAAAAGAGAAGUAGGCUGACAAGAAUGUUCAAAUAUCCCAACUUCCUUUCCGAUAAGGCCCUGUCUCCGUCACUGCCAAGCAACUGACAAAGCUGACAACCUUGGACCACUGUUAAUCAUCAGAUACAGUAAUGGGAAGAUUGACUGGAAAUUUGUGCUACAACAUACCCUGAAGCGUACUUACCCACCAGAGCUUAAGAGAAGAAGCUGACUGCCUCCUGUAUUGUUUUUGGGAAGCUCGCCUCUGCAUAAACACGGCCAGAAACUGCGGUGUCUUUCCUUUAUGGCAAGUUGGGCAUCUUCAUCUCUUUUGGGGAAAUUACCUCAAAGAAAUUGUUCAUUGUGCAGCAGUCACAUCUCACAAAAACUACACACUUCAAAUAGUUGUAUUGUCUACGUGAAUUUGUGUUUGAACUCAUGCAGAGCCGGCUGUGUCUAAGCAUUAUUGUGUAUGUGUUAGUGGAUUUGAUAGAGAAUCACGGUGUGCUCACUCCAAUCAAUAUUUCAUUAAUAUAUGAAAAGGGGAGGAGCACAGAAAAGACAAUUGCUGAAAUUUGCUCAAUAUCAUUCUAGGCCACAAUACGGCCCAGGAGUGCAAACACUCUCCAUGCCGUGUAGUCGCCUCCUGCAGCUCAGCUCCUUUGGAUCAAGGUUGCGGGUGUUCUGCUUGGCAAACAUCUCAUUACAAGCUAUUUUUUACACAUUUAAGUUUACCACUAUUCCAAUUAGUCUAAAGGAAAGCUUUUCCCAGGUAAUGUUGUCAACUUCAUUUGAACAAAAACAUGUAAAAAUAAAAAGUACCACUUGACAUGGCUGUUCUAAUAAGUCUAUGUGUUACCAACUCAGUACUUCAUUUAAGUGUAUAAUGAUUUCCCCUAACAGUUUAACAGGGGGGGCGGGGUGCCCCUCCCCCUUGAAAAAGUUUGGAAUAAAACAAAAAAAAAGGUGCAGCGUCCAGAUUGGCUGGCUUGAAGCAUUAAGCAUAUACUGAGAGCGAUGGAGCAAAGACAAACAGGUGGGGACAGAUCGCCAUUGUCAAGUAGUGAC